rnacentral:snoRNA from 1 species
AGGAGGUGAUGAACUCAUGGAGAGUGGACAGAGACGCUGUGCUGAUUGUCAUGGCCUGAUUGG